GACGGAGGAUGCAAGUGUUAUCCGGAAUCACUGGGCGUAAAGCGUCUGUAGGUGGUUUAGUAAGUCUGUUGUUAAAGCUUGGGGCUUAACCCCAAAUCAGCGAUGGAAACUGCUAGACUUGAGUAUGGUAGAGGUAAGAGGAAUUUCCAGUGGAGCGGUGAAAUGCGUAGAUAUUGGAAAGAACACCGAUGGCGAAGGCAUCUUACUGGGCCAUUACUGACACUCAGAGACGAAAGCUAGGGUAGCAAAUGGG
rnacentral:rRNA from 1 species